rnacentral:rRNA from 1 species
GGGGAAUAUUGGACAAUGGGCGUAAGCCUGAUCCAGCCAUGCCGCGUGUGUGAAGAAGGCCUUUUGGUUGUAAAGCACUUUAAGUAGGGAGGAAAAGCUAAUGGUUAAUACCCAUUAGCCCUUACGUUACCUACAGAAUAAGCACCGGCUAACUCUGUGCCAGCAGCCGCGGUAAUACAGAGGGUGCAAGCGUUAAUCGGAAUUACUGGGCGUAAAGCGCGCGUAGGUGGUUACUUAAGUCAGAUGUGAAAGCCCCGGGCUUAACCUGGGAACUGCAUCUGAUACUGGGUGACUAGAGUAGGUGAGAGGGGAGUAGAAUUCCAGGUGUAGCGGUGAAAUGCGUAGAGAUCUGGAGGAAUACCGAUGGCGAAGGCAGCUCCCUGGCAUCAUACUGACACUGAGGUGCGAAAGCGUGGGUAGCAAAC